rnacentral:rRNA from 1 species
GUGAGGAAUAUUGGUCAAUGGGCGAGAGCCUGAACCAGCCAAGUCGCGUGAAGGAAGAAGGAUCUAUGGUUCGUAAACUUCUUUUGCAGGGGAAUAAAGUGCAGGACGUGUCCUGUUUUGUAUGUACCCUGAGAAUAAGGAUCGGCUAACUCCGUGCAAGCAGCCGCGGUAAUACGGAGGAUCCGAGCGUUAUCCGGAUUUAUUGGGUUUAAAGGGUGCGUAGGUGGUUUGAUAAGUCAGCGGUGAAAGUUUGCAGCUAAACUGUAAAAAUGCAAUUGAAACUGUCGGACUUGAGUGUAAAUGAGGUAGGCGGAAUGCGGGGUGUAGCGGUGAAAUGCAUAGAUAUCACGCAGAACUCCGAUGGCGAAGGCGACUUACUAAGCUACAACUGACACUGAAGCACGAAAGCGUGGGGAUCAAACAGGAUUAGAUACCCCGGUAGUCC